GGCCAAGUUAGUGCGCCGGCGGAGAUUAGUAGGCAGGCCAAGUAAGUGCUUGGGCAGAGGCAAGUUGAUAAGCUCAGUUAGCAAGCCGGUGAAGGUUAGUGGGCAAGCCUAGUUAGUGCGCCGGCGGAGGCUAGUUGAUAAGCUAAGUUAGCACGCCAGUGGAGGUUAGUGGGCAGGCCAAGUUAGUGUGCCAGCGGAAGCUAGUUGAUAAGCUAAGUUAGCGCGCCGGUGGAGGAUAGUGGACAGGCGAAGUUAGUGCGCCGGAAAAGGUUAGUGGGCAGGCCUAAUUAGUGCGCCGGUGCAGGUUAGAGGGCAUGCCAAGUUAGUGCGCCGGCAGAGGCUAGUUGAUAAGCUAAGUUAGCGCGCCGGUGGAGGUUAGAGAGCAGGCCUAGUUAGCGCUCCAGCGGAGGCUACUUGAUCAGCUAAGUUAGCGCGCCGGCGGAGGUUAGUGGGCAGGCAAAGUUAGUGCGCCGGCGGAGGAUAGUUGAUAAGGUAAGUUAGCUCACCGGUGGAGGUUAGUGUGCAGGCCAAGUUAGUGCGCCGGUGGAGGUUAGUUGGCAGGCCAAGUUAGUGCGCCGGUGGAGGCUAGUUGAUAAUGUAAGUUAGCACGCCGGUGCAGGCUAGAGAGCAGGCCUAGUUAGCGCUCCAGCGGAGGCUAGAUGAUAAGCUAAGUUAGCGUGCCGGUGGAGGUUAGUGGGCAGACCACGUUAGUGCGCCGGCGGAGGCUAGUUGAUAAGGUAAGUUAGCGCGCCAGUGGAGGUUAGUGGGCAGGCCAAGUUAGUGCACCGGCGGAGACUAGUUGAUAAGCUAAGUUAGUGCGCCAGUGGAGGUUAGUGGGCAGACCAAGCUAGUGCGCUGGCGGAGGUUAGUGGGCAGGCCAAGUUAGUGCGCCGGCAGGGGCUAGUUAAUAAGCUAAGUUAGCACGCCGGUGGAGGUUAGUGUGCAGGCCAACUUAGCGUGCCAGCGGAGUAUAGGGGGCAGGCCAAGUUAGUGCGCCGGCAGAGGCUAGUUGACAAAGUAAGUUUGCGCGCCAGUGGAGGUUAGUGGGCAGGCAAAGUUAGGGCAGCAGCGGAGGCUAGAUGAUAAGGUAAGUUAGAGCGCUGGUGGAGGUUAGUGUGCAGGCCAAGUUAGUGCGCCGGUGGAGGUUAGUUGGCAGGCCAAGUUAGUGCGCCGGCGGAGGCUAGUUGACAAGGUAAGUUUGAGCGCCAGUGGAGGUUAGUGGGCAGGCAAAGUUAGGGCACCAGCGGAGGCUAGUUGAUAAGGUAAGUUAGCGCGCCGGUGGAGGUUAGUGUGCAGGCCAAGUUAGUGCGCAUAUGGAGGUUAGUUGACAGGCCAGGUUAGUGCGCCGGCGGAGGGUAGUUGAUAAGCUAAAUUAUCGCGCCGGCGGAGGUUAGUGGGCAGGCCUAGUUAGUGCGCCGGCAGAGGCUAGCUGAUAAGCUAAGUUAGCUCGCCGGUGGAGGUUAGUGGGCAGGCCAAGUUAGUGCGCCGGCGCAGGCUACUUGGCAGGCCAAGUUAUUGCGCCGGCGGAGGCUAGUUGAAAAGCUAAGUUAGCAUGCCGGAGGAGGUUAGUGGGCAGAUCUAGUUGGUGCGCCGGCAGAGGCCAGUUGAUAAGCUAAGUUAGCGAGCUGGAGGAGGUUAGUGUGCAGGCCAAGUUAGUGCGCCGGCGGAGGCUAGUUGAUAAUGUAAGUUAGCACGCCGGUGGAGGUUAGAGAGCAGGCCUAGUUAGCGCUCCAGCGGAGGCUAGAUGAUAAGCUAAGUUAGCGCGCCGGUGGAGGAUAGUGGACAGGCGAAGUUAGUGCGCCAGAAAAGGUUAGUGGGCAGGCCUAAUUAGUGCGCCGGCGCAGGUUAGAGGGCAUGCCAAGUUAGUGCGCUGGCGGAGGCUAGUUGAUAAGGUAAGUUAGCACGCCGGUGGAGGUUAGAGAGCAGGCCUAGUUAGCGCUCCAGUGGAGGCUAGAUGAUAAGCUAAGUUAGCGCGCCAGUGGAGGUUAGUGUGCAGGCCAAGUUAGCGCGCCAGCGGAGGUUAGUGGGCAGGCCAAGUUAGUGCGCUUGCGGAGGCUAGUUGAUAAGGUAAGUUAGCGCGCCAGUGGAGGUUAGUGGGCAGGCCAAGUUAGUGCGCUGGCGGAGGCUAGUUGAUAAGCUAAGUUAUCGCGCCGGUGGAGGUUAGUGGGCAGGCCAAGUUAGUGCGCCGGCAGAGGCUAGUUGAUAAGGUAAGUUAGCACGCUGGUGGAGGUUAGAGAGCAGGCCCUGUUAGCGCUCAAGCGGAGGCUGGAUGAUAAGCUAAGUUAGCGCGCCGGUGGAGGUUAGUUGGCAGGCCAAGUUAGUGCGCCGGUGGAGGCUAGAUGAUAAGCUAAGUUAGCUCGCCGGUGGAGGUUAGUGGGCAGGCCAAGUUAGUGCGCCGGCGGAGGGUAGUUGAUAAGGUCAGUUAGCUCACCGGUGGAGGUUAGUGGGCAUGCCAAGUUAGUGCGCCGGUGGAGGUUAGUUGGCAGGCCAAGUUAGUGCGCUGGCGGAGGCUAGUUGAUAAUGUAAGUUAGCACACCAGUGGAGGUUAGAGAGCAGGCCUAGUUAGUGCUCCAGUGGAGGCUAGAUGAUAAGCUAAGUUAGCGCGCCAGUGGAGGUUAGUGUGCAGGCCAAGUUAGCGCGCCAGCGGAGGUUAGUGGGCAGGCCAAGUUAGUGCGCUGGCGGAGGCUAGUUUAUAAGGUAAGUUAGCGCGCCAGUGGAGGUUAGUGGGCAGGCCAAGUUAGUGCACCAGUGGAGGCUAGUUGAUAAUGUAAGUUAGCACACCCGUGUUGGUUAGUGUGCAGGCCAAGUUAGCGCGCCGGUGGAGGUUUGUUGGCAGGCCAAGUUAGUGUGCCAGCGGAGGCUAGUUGAUAAGCUAAGUUAGCUCGCCGGUGGAGGUUAGUGGGCAGGCCAAGUUAGCGCACUGGCGGAGACUAGUUGAUAAUGUAAGUUAGUGCGACAGUGGAGGUUAGUGGGCAGGCCAAGCUAGUGCGCUGGCGGAGGUUAGUGGGCAGGCGAAGUUAGUGCGCCGGCAGGGGCUUGUUAAUAAGCUAAGUUAGCACGCCGGUGGAGGAUAGUGGACAGGCGAAGUUAGUGCGCCAGCAGAGGCUAGUUGAUUAGGUCAGUUAGCUCACCGGUGGAGGUCAGUGGGGAGGCCAAGAUAGCACGCCAGCAGAGGCUAGUUGAUAAGCUAAGUUAGCGCGCCGGUGGAGGUUAGUGUGCAGGCCAACUUAGCGCGCCAGCGGAAGAUCGGGGGCAGGCCAAGUUAGUGCGCCGGCGGAGGCUAGUUGAUAAGGUAAGUUAGCGCGGCAGUGGAGGUUAGUGGGCAGGAAAAGUUAGGGCACCAGCGGAGGCUAGAUGAUAAGGUAAGUUAGUGCGCUGGUGGAGGUUAGUGUGCAGGCCAAGUUAGUGCGCCGGCGGAGGGUAGUUGAUAAGCUAAGUUAGCGCGCCGGUGGAGGAUAGUGGACAGGCGAAGUUCGUGCGCCAGAAAAGGUUAGUGGGCUGGCCUAAUUAGUGCGCCGGCGCAGGUUAGAGGGCAUGCCAAGUUAGUGCGCCAGUGGAGGCUAGUUGAUAAUGUAAGUUAGCACGCCAGUGGAGGUUAGAGAGCAGGCCUAGUUAGUGCUCCAGUGGAGGCUAGAUGAUAAGCUAAGUUAGCGCGCCUGUGGAGGUUAGUGUGCAGGCCAAGUUAGCGCGCCAGCGGAGGUUAGUGGGCAGGCCAAGUUAGUGCGCUGGCGGAGGCUAGUUGAUAAGGUAAGUUAGCGCGCCAGUGGAGGUUAGUGGGCAGGCCAAGUUAGUGCACCAGUGGAGGCUAGUUCAUAAGGUAAGUUAGCGCGCCGGUGGAGGAUAGUGUACAGGCGAAGUUAGUGCGUCGGACAAGGUUAGUGGGCAGGCCUAAUUAGUGUGCUGGCACAGGUUAGAGGGCAUUACAAGUUAGUGCACCGGCGGAGGGUAGUUGAUAAGCUACGUUAGCGCGCCGGAGGAGGUUAUUGUGCAGGCCAAGUUAGUGCGCCGGAAAAGGUUAGUGGGCAGGCCUAAUUACUGCGGUGGCACAGGUUAGAGGGCAUGCCAAGUUAGUGCGCCGGCGGAGGCUAGUUGAUAAUGUAAGUUAGCAAGCCGGUGGAGGUUAGAGAGCAGGCCUAGUUAGCGAUCCAGCGGAGGCUGGAUGAUAAGCUAAGUUAGCACGCCGGUGGAGGUUAGUGUGCAAGCCAAGUUAGCGCGCCAGCGGAGGUUAGUGGGCAGGCCAAGUUAGUGCGCCGGCGGAGGCUAGUUGAUAAGGUAAGUUAGCGCGCCAGUGGAGGUUAGUGGGCAGGCCGAGUUAGUGCACCGGUGGAGGGUAGUUCAUAAGGUAAGUUAGCACGCCGGUGGAGGUUAGUGUGCAGGCCAAGUUUGCUCGCCGGUGGAGGUUAGUGGGCAGGCCAAGUUAGUGCGCCGGCGGAGGCUACUUGGCAGGCCAAGUUAUUGCGCCGGCGGAGGCUAGUUGAUAAGCUAAGUUAGCAUGCCGUUGGAGUUUAGUGGGCAGAUCUAGUUAGUGCGCCGGCAGAGGCUAGUUGAUAAGCUAAGUUAGCGCGCCGGUGGAGGUUAGUGGGCAGGCCAAGUUAGUGCGCCGGCGGAGGCUAGUUGAUAAGGUAAGUUAGCGCGCCAGUGGAGGUUAGUGGGCAGGCCAAGUUAGUGCACCAGUGGAGGCUAGUUCAUAAGGUAAGUUAGCGCGCCGGUGGAGGAUAGUGUACAGGCGAAGUUAGUGCGUCGGACAAGGUUAGUGGGCAGGCCUAAUUAGUGUGCUGGCACAGGUUAGAGGGCAUUACAAGUUAGUGCACCGGCGGAGGGUAGUUGAUAAGCUACGUUAGCGCGCCGGAGGAGGUUAUUGUGCAGGCCAAGUUAGUGCGCCGGAAAAGGUUAGUGGGCAGGCCUAAUUACUGCGGUGGCACAGGUUAGAGGGCAUGCCAAGUUAGUGCGCCGGUGGAGGCUAGUUGAUAAUGUAAGUUAGCACGCCGGUGGAGGUUAGAGAGCAGGCCUAGUUAGCGCUCCAGCGGGGGCUGGAUGAUAAGCUAAGUUAGCGCGCCGGUGGAGGUUAGUGUGCAGGCCAAGUUAGCGCGCCAGCGGAGGUUAGUGGGCAGGCCAAGUUAGUGCGCUGGCGGAGGCUAGUUUAUAAGGUAAGUUAGCGCGCCAGUGGAGGUUAGUGGGCAGGCCAAGUUAGUGCACCAGUGGAGGCUAGUUGAUAAUGUAAGUUAGCACACCCGUGUUGGUUAGUGUGCAGGCCAAGUUAGCGCGCCGGUGGAGGUUUGUUGGCAGGCCAAGUUAGUGUGCCAGCGGAGGCUAGUUGAUAAGCUAAGUUAGCUCGCCGGUGGAGGUUAGUGGGCAGGCCAAGUUAGCGCACCGGCGGAGACUAGUUGAUAAUGUAAGUUAGUGCGACAGUGGAGGUUAGUGGGCAGGCCAAGCUAGUGCGCUGGCGGAGGUUAGUGGGCAGGCGAAGUUAGUGCGCCGGCAGGGGCUUGUUAAUAAGCUAAGUUAGCACGCCGGUGGAGGAUAGUGGACAGGCGAAGUUAGUGCGCCAGCAGAGGCUAGUUGAUUAGGUCAGUUAGCUCACCGGUGGAGGUCAGUGGGGAGGCCAAGAUAGCACGCCAGCAGAGGCUAGUUGAUAAGCUAAGUUAGCGCGCCGGUGGAGGUUAGUGUGCAGGCCAACUUAGCGCGCCAGCGGAAGAUCGGGGGCAGGCCAAGUUAGUGCGCCGGCGGAGGCUAGUUGAUAAGGUAAGUUAGCGCGGCAGUGGAGGUUAGUGGGCAGGAAAAGUUAGGGCACCAGCGGAGGCUAGAUGAUAAGGUAAGUUAGUGCGCUGGUGGAGGUUAGUGUGCAGGCCAAGUUAGUGCGCCGGCGGAGGGUAGUUGAUAAGCUAAGUUAGCGCGCCGGUGGAGGAUAGUGGACAGGCGAAGUUCGUGCGCCAGAAAAGGUUAGUGGGCUGGCCUAAUUAGUGCGCCGGCGCAGGUUAGAGGGCAUGCCAAGUUAGUGCGCCGGUGGAGGCUAGUUGAUAAUGUAAGUUAGCACGCCAGUGGAGGUUAGAGAGCAGGCCUAGUUAGUGCUCCAGUGGAGGCUAGAUGAUAAGCUAAGUUAGCGCGCCUGUGGAGGUUAGUGUGCAGGCCAAGUUAGCGCGCCAGCGGAGGUUAGUGGGCAGGCCAAGUUAGUGCGCUGGCGGAGGCUAGUUGAUAAGGUAAGUUAGCGCGCCAGUGGAGGUUAGUGGGCAGGCCAAGUUAGUGCACCAGUGGAGGCUAGUUCAUAAGGUAAGUUAGCGCGCCGGUGGAGGAUAGUGUACAGGCGAAGUUAGUGCGUCGGACAAGGUUAGUGGGCAGGCCUAAUUAGUGUGCUGGCACAGGUUAGAGGGCAUUACAAGUUAGUGCACCGGCGGAGGGUAGUUGAUAAGCUACGUUAGCGCGCCGGAGGAGGUUAUUGUGCAGGCCAAGUUAGUGCGCCGGAAAAGGUUAGUGGGCAGGCCUAAUUACUGCGGUGGCACAGGUUAGAGGGCAUGCCAAGUUAGUGCGCCGGCGGAGGCUAGUUGAUAAUGUAAGUUAGCAAGCCGGUGGAGGUUAGAGAGCAGGCCUAGUUAGCGAUCCAGCGGAGGCUGGAUGAUAAGCUAAGUUAGCACGCCGGUGGAGGUUAGUGUGCAAGCCAAGUUAGCGCGCCAGCGGAGGUUAGUGGGCAGGCCAAGUUAGUGCGCCGGCGGAGGCUAGUUGAUAAGGUAAGUUAGCGCGCCAGUGGAGGUUAGUGGGCAGGCCGAGUUAGUGCACCGGUGGAGGGUAGUUCAUAAGGUAAGUUAGCACGCCGGUGGAGGUUAGUGUGCAGGCCAAGUUUGCUCGCCGGUGGAGGUUAGUGGGCAGGCCAAGUUAGUGCGCCGGCGGAGGCUACUUGGCAGGCCAAGUUAUUGCGCCGGCGGAGGCUAGUUGAUAAGCUAAGUUAGCAUGCCGUUGGAGUUUAGUGGGCAGAUCUAGUUAGUGCGCCGGCAGAGGCUAGUUGAUAAGCUAAGUUAGCGCGCCGGUGGAGGUUAGUGGGCAGGCCAAGUUAGUGCGCCGGCGGAGGCUAGUUGAUAAGGUAAGUUAGCGCGCCAGUGGAGGUUAGUGGGCAGGCCAAGUUAGUGCACCAGUGGAGGCUAGUUCAUAAGGUAAGUUAGCGCGCCGGUGGAGGAUAGUGUACAGGCGAAGUUAGUGCGUCGGACAAGGUUAGUGGGCAGGCCUAAUUAGUGUGCUGGCACAGGUUAGAGGGCAUUACAAGUUAGUGCACCGGCGGAGGGUAGUUGAUAAGCUACGUUAGCGCGCCGGAGGAGGUUAUUGUGCAGGCCAAGUUAGUGCGCCGGAAAAGGUUAGUGGGCAGGCCUAAUUACUGCGGUGGCACAGGUUAGAGGGCAUGCCAAGUUAGUGCGCCGGUGGAGGCUAGUUGAUAAUGUAAGUUAGCACGCCGGUGGAGGUUAGAGAGCAGGCCUAGUUAGCGCUCCAGCGGGGGCUGGAUGAUAAGCUAAGUUAGCGCGCCGGUGGAGGUUAGUGUGCAGGCCAAGUUAGCACGCCAGCGGAGGUUAGGGGGCAGGCCAAGUUAGUGCGCCGGCGGAGGCUAGUUGAUAAGGUAAGUUAGCGCGCCAGUGGAGGUUAGUGGGCAUGCCAAGUUAGUGCACCAGCGGAGGUUAGAUGAUAAGGUAAGUUAGCGUGCCAGUGGAGGUUAGUUGGCAGGCCAAGUUAGCACGCCGGUAGAGGUUAGUGGGCAGGCAAGGUUAAUGCGCCGGCGGAGACUAGUUGAUCAGCUAAGUUAGCUCGCCGGAGGAGGUUAUUGUGCAGGCCAAGUUAGUGCGCCUGCAGAAGCUCGUUGAUAAGCUAAGUUAGCGCGCUGUCGGAGGUUAGUGGGCAGGCAAAGUUAGUGCGCCGGCGGAGGAUAGUUGGUAAGGUAAGUUAGCUCACCGGUGGAGGUUAGUGGGCAUGCCAAGUUAGUGCGCCGGUGGUGGUUAGUUGGCAGGCCAAGUUAGUGCGCCGGCGGAGGGUAGUUGAUAAGCUACGUUAGCGCGCCGGUGGAGGAUAGUGGACAGGCGAAGUUAGUGCGCCAGAAAAGGUUAGUGGGCAGGCCUAAUUAGUGCGCCGGCGCAGGUUAGAGGGCAUGCCAAGUUAGUGCGCUGGCGGAGGCUAGUUGAUAAUGUAAGUUAGCACACCAGUGGAGGUUAGAGAGCAGGCCUAGUUAGUGCUCCAGUGGAGGCUAGAUGAUAAGCUAAGUUAGCGCGCCAGUGGAGGUUAGUGUGCAGGCCAAGUUAGCGCGCCGGUGGAGGUUAGUUGGCAGGCCAAGUUAGUGUGCCAGCGGAGGCUAGUUGAUAAGCUAAGUUAGCUCGCCGGUGGAGGUUAGUGGGCAGGCCAAGUUAGCGCACCGGCGGAGACUAGUUGAUAAUGUAAGUUAGUGCGACAGUGGAGGUUAGUGGGCAGACCAAGCUAGUGCGCAGGCGGAGGUUAGUGGGCAGGCGAAGUUAGUGCGCCGGCAGGGGCUUGUUAAUAAGCUAAGUUAGCACGCCGGUGGAGGAUAGUGGACAGGCGAAGUUAGUGCGCCAGCAGAGGCUAGUUGAUUAGGUCAGUUAGCUCACCGGUGGAGGUCAGUGGGGAGGCCAAGAUAGCACGCCAGCAGAGGCUAGUUGAUAAGCUAAGUUAGCGCGCCGGUGGAGGUUAGUGUGCAGGCCAACUUAGCGCGCCAGCGGAAGAUCGGGGGCAGGCCAAGUUAGUGCGCCGGCGGAGGUUAGUUGAUAAGGUAAGUUAGCGCGGCAGUGGAGGUUAGUGGGCAGGAAAAGUUAGGGCACCAGCGGAGGCUAGAUGAUAAGGUAAGUUAGUGCGCUGGUGGAGGUUAGUGUGCAGGCCAAGUUAGUGCGCCGAUGGAGGUUGGUUGCCAGGCCAAGUUAGUGCGCCGGCGGAGGGUAGUUGAUAAGCUAAGUUAGCGCGCCGGUGGAGGAUAGUGGACAGGCGAAGUUAGUGCGCCAGAAAAGGUUAGUGGGCUGGCCUAAUUAGUGCGCCGGCGCAGGUUAGAGGGCAUGCCAAGUUAGUGCGCCGGUGGAGGCUAGUUGAUAAUGUAAGUUAGCACGCCAGUGGAGGUUAGAGAGCAGGCCUAGUUAGUGCUCCAGUGGAGGCUAGAUGAUAAGCUAAGUUAGCGCGCCUGUGGAGGUUAGUGUGCAGGCCAAGUUAGCGCGCCAGCGGAGGUUAGUGGGCAGGCCAAGUUAGUGCGCUGGCGGAGGCUAGUUGAUAAGGUAAGUUAGCGCGCCAGUGGAGGUUAGUGGGCAGGCCAAGUUAGUGCACCAGUGGAGGCUAGUUCAUAAGGUAAGUUAGCGCGCCGGUGGAGGAUAGUGUACAGGCGAAGUUAGUGCGUCGGAAAAGGUUAGUAUGCAGGCCUAAUUAGUGUGCCGGCACAGGUUAGAGGGCAUGCCAAGUUAGUGCGCCGGCGGAGAGUAGUUGAUAAGCUACGUUAGCGCGCCGGUGGAGGAUAGUGGACAGGCGAAGUUAGUGCGCCAGAAAAGGUUAGUGGGCAGGCCUAAUUACUGCGGUGGCGCAGGUUAGAGGGCAUUACAAGUUAGUGCGCCGGCGGAGGCUAGUUGAUAUUGUAAGUUAGCAAGCCGGUGGAGGUUAGAGAGCAGGCCUAGUUAGCGAUCCAGCGGAGGCUGGAUGAUAAGCUAAGUUAGCACGCCGGUGGAGGUUAGUGUGCAAGCCAAGUUAGCGCGCCAGCGGAGGUUAGUGGGCAGGCCAAGUUAGUGCGCCGGCGGAGGCUAGUUGAUAAUGUAAGUUAGCGCGCCAGUGGAGGUUAGUGGGCAGGCCGAGUUAGUGCACCGGUGGAGGGCAGUUCAUAAGGUAAGUUAGCACGCCGGUGGAGGUUAGUGUGCAGGCCAAGUUAGCUCGCCGGUGGAGGUUAGUGGGCAGGCCAAGUUAGUGCGCCGGCGGAGGCUACUUGGCAGGCCAAGUUAUUGCGCCGGCGGAGGCUAGUUGAUAAGCUAAGUUAGCAUGCCGUUGGAGUUUAGUGGGCAGAUCUAGUUAGUGCGCCGGCAGAGGCUAGUUGAUAAGCUAAGUUAGCGCGCUGGAGGAGGUUAGUGUGCAGGCCAAGUUAGUGCGCUGGCGGAGGCUAGUUGAUAAGCUAAGUUAGCGCGCCAGUGGAGGUUAGUGGGCAGGCCAAGUUAGUGCACCAGUGGAGGCUAGUUCAUAAGGUAAGUUAGCGCGCCGGUGGAGGAUAGUGUACAGGCGAAGUUAGUGCGUCGGAAAAGGUUAUUGGGAGGCCUAAUUAGUGUGCCGGCACAGGUUAGAGGGCAUGCCAAGUUAGUGCGCCGGCGGAGAGUAGUUGAUAAGCUACGUUAGCGCGCCGGUGGAGGAUAGUGGACAGGCAAAGUUAGUGCGCCAGAAAAGGUUAGUGGGCAGGCCUAAUUACUGCGGUGGCGCAGGUUAGAGGGCAUUACAAGUUAGUGCGCCGGCGGAGGCUAGUUGAUAAUGUAAGUUAGCAAGCCGGUGGAGGUUAGAGAGCAGGCCUAGUUAGCGAUCCAGUGGAGGCUAGAUGAUAAGCUAAGUUAGCGCGCCAGUGGAGGUUAGUGUGCAGGCCAAGUUAGCGCGCCGGUGGAGGUUAGUUGGCAGGCCAAGUUAGUGUGCCAGCGGAGGCUAGUUGAUAAGCUAAGUUAGCUCGCCGGUGGAGGUUAGUGGGCAGGCCAAGUUAGCGCACCGGCGGAGACUAGUUGAUAAUGUAAGUUAGUGCGACAGUGGAGGUUAGUGGGCAGACCAAGCUAGUGCGCAGGCGGAGGUUAGUGGGCAGGCGAAGUUAGUGCGCCGGCAGGGGCUUGUUAAUAAGCUAAGUUAGCACGCCGGUGGAGGAUAGUGGACAGGCGAAGUUAGUGCGCCAGCAGAGGCUAGUUGAUUAGGUCAGUUAGCUCACCGGUGGAGGUCAGUGGGGAGGCCAAGAUAGCACGCCAGCAGAGGCUAGUUGAUAAGCUAAGUUAGCGCGCCGGUGGAGGUUAGUGUGCAGGCCAACUUAGCGCGCCAGCGGAAGAUCGGGGGCAGGCCAAGUUAGUGCGCCGGCGGAGGUUAGUUGAUAAGGUAAGUUAGCGCGGCAGUGGAGGUUAGUGGGCAGGAAAAGUUAGGGCACCAGCGGAGGCUAGAUGAUAAGGUAAGUUAGUGCGCUGGUGGAGGUUAGUGUGCAGGCCAAGUUAGUGCGCCGAUGGAGGUUGGUUGCCAGGCCAAGUUAGUGCGCCGGCGGAGGGUAGUUGAUAAGCUAAGUUAGCGCGCCGGUGGAAAAUAGUGGACAGGCGAAGUUAGUGCGCCAGAAAAGGUUAGUGGGCUGGCCUAAUUAGUGCGCCGGCGCAGGUUAGAGGGCAUGCCAAGUUAGUGCGCCGGUGGAGGCUAGUUGAUAAUGUAAGUUAGCACGCCAGUGGAGGUUAGAGAGCAGGCCUAGUUAGUGCUCCAGUGGAGGCUAGAUGAUAAGCUAAGUUAGCGCGCCUGUGGAGGUUAGUGUGCAGGCCAAGUUAGCGCGCCAGCGGAGGUUAGUGGGCAGGCCAAGUUAGUGCGCUGGCGGAGGCUAGUUGAUAAGGUAAGUUAGCGCGCCAGUGGAGGUUAGUGGGCAGGCCAAGUUAGUGCACCAGUGGAGGCUAGUUCAUAAGGUAAGUUAGCGCGCCGGUGGAGGAUAGUGUACAGGCGAAGUUAGUGCGUCGGAAAAGGUUAGUAUGCAGGCCUAAUUAGUGUGCCGGCACAGGUUAGAGGGCAUGCCAAGUUAGUGCGCCGGCGGAGAGUAGUUGAUAAGCUACGUUAGCGCGCCGGUGGAGGAUAGUGGACAGGCGAAGUUAGUGCGCCAGAAAAGGUUAGUGGGCAGGCCUAAUUACUGCGGUGGCGCAGGUUAGAGGGCAUUACAAGUUAGUGCGCCGGCGGAGGCUAGUUGAUAUUGUAAGUUAGCAAGCCGGUGGAGGUUAGAGAGCAGGCCUAGUUAGCGAUCCAGCGGAGGCUGGAUGAUAAGCUAAGUUAGCACGCCGGUGGAGGUUAGUGUGCAAGCCAAGUUAGCGCGCCAGCGGAGGUUAGUGGGCAGGCCAAGUUAGUGCGCCGGCGGAGGCUAGUUGAUAAUGUAAGUUAGCGCGCCAGUGGAGGUUAGUGGGCAGGCCGAGUUAGUGCACCGGUGGAGGGCAGUUCAUAAGGUAAGUUAGCACGCCGGUGGAGGUUAGUGUGCAGGCCAAGUUAGCUCGCCGGUGGAGGUUAGUGGGCAGGCCAAGUUAGUGCGCCGGCGGAGGCUACUUGGCAGGCCAAGUUAUUGCGCCGGCGGAGGCUAGUUGAUAAGCUAAGUUAGCAUGCCGUUGGAGUUUAGUGGGCAGAUCUAGUUAGUGCGCCGGCAGAGGCUAGUUGAUAAGCUAAGUUAGCGCGCUGGAGGAGGUUAGUGUGCAGGCCAAGUUAGUGCGCUGGCGGAGGCUAGUUGAUAAGCUAAGUUAGCGCGCCAGUGGAGGUUAGUGGGCAGGCCAAGUUAGUGCACCAGUGGAGGCUAGUUCAUAAGGUAAGUUAGCGCGCCGGUGGAGGAUAGUGUACAGGCGAAGUUAGUGCGUCGGAAAAGGUUAUUGGGAGGCCUAAUUAGUGUGCCGGCACAGGUUAGAGGGCAUGCCAAGUUAGUGCGCCGGCGGAGAGUAGUUGAUAAGCUACGUUAGCGCGCCGGUGGAGGAUAGUGGACAGGCAAAGUUAGUGCGCCAGAAAAGGUUAGUGGGCAGGCCUAAUUACUGCGGUGGCGCAGGUUAGAGGGCAUUACAAGUUAGUGCGCCGGCGGAGGCUAGUUGAUAAUGUAAGUUAGCAAGCCGGUGGAGGUUAGAGAGCAGGCCUAGUUAGCGAUCCAGCGGAGGCUGGAUGAUAAGCUAAGUUAGCACGCCGGUGGAGGUUAGUGUGCAAGCCAAGUUAGCGCGCCAGCGGAGGUUAGUGGGCAGGCCAAGUUAGUGCGCCGGCGGAGGCUAGUUGAUAAGGUAAGUUAGCGCGCCAGUGGAGGUUAGUGGGCAGGCCGAGUUAGUGCACCGGUGGAGGGCAGUUCAUAAGGUAAGUUAGCACGCCGGUGGAGGUUAGUGUGCAGGCCAAGUUAGCUCGCCGGUGGAGGUUAGUGGGCAGGCCAAGUUAGUGUGCCGGCGGAGGCUACUUGGCAGGCCAAGUUAUUGCGCCGGCGGAGGCUAGUUGAUAAGCUAAGUUAGCAUGCCGUUGGAGUUUAGUGGGCAGAUCUAGUUAGUGCGCCGGCAGAGGCUAGUUGAUAAGCUAAGUUAGCGCGCUGGAGGAGGUUAGUGUGCAGGCCAAGUUAGUGCGCUGGCGGAGGCUAGUUGAUAAGCUAAGUUAGCGCGCCGGUGGAGGUUAGUGGGCAGGCCAAGUUAGUGCGCCGGCGGAGGUUAGUUGAUAAGGUAAGUUAGCACGCCGGUGGAGGUUAGAGAGCAGGCCUAGUUAGCGCUCAAGCGGAGGCUAGUUGAUAAGGUAAGUUAGCGCGCUGGUGGAGGUUAGUGGGCAGGCCAAGUUAGUGCACCAGUGGAGGCUAGUUCA